AUAAAAGCAGGGUCCUAUUGCCUGUGUGAAUGGGUCUCUCGUAAACGUCAGGGAAAUUAGUUGCAAAGUUAUUGGGUGAACCUCUGUUUUGUGUCUUUGUGGCUCUCUGUGGCUGAAGGUUCAGUAAACCAUGCAACAUUU